CUGCGGGGAGCUAGCAAAUAAGCUUUGAUCCGCAGAUUUCCGAAUGGGGAAACCCACUGUUUUUAACAGUAUCACUCACUGAAUACAUAGGUGAGUCGAAGCGAACCGAGUGAACUGAAACAUCUAAGUAACUCGAGGAAAAGAAAUCAACCGAGAUUCCGAAAGUAGUGGCGAGCGAAAUCGGACCAGCCUUGACGAGAUAACAGUGUGUGCAGUCGAACGUGAUGGAAAGCACGGCCGUAGCAGGUGAUAGCCCUGUAGACGAAACACACACUGUGGUACUAAGCGUCGAAUAAGUAGAGCGGGACACGUGAAAUCCUGUUUGAAGAUGGGGGGACCAUCCUCCAAGGCUAAAUACUCGUGAUCGACCGAUAGUGAACCAGUACCGUGAGGGAAAGGCGAAAAGAACCCCGGGAGGGGAGUGAAAUAGAACCUGAAACCGUGUGCAUACAAACAGUCGGAGCCUCUUUAUGGGGUGACGGCGUACCUUUUGUAUAAUGGGUCAGCGACUUACAUUCAGUGGCAAGCUUAACCGAAUAGGGAAGGCGUAGCGAAAGCGAGUCCGAAUAGGGCGUCUUAGUCGCUGGGUGUAGACCCGAAACCAGAUGAUCUAUCCAUGGC
rnacentral:rRNA from 1 species